UCAUAACUUCUUUGAAAAACUGUCAUUUCAGGUCCCAAACAAAACGCUGACGAAGCAAAAUAUUUUAUACGUCAAAUGUUUGAAGCAUUGGUGCAUAAAGACCGUCCAAUUUAUUCACAUUUCACAUGCGCCACGGAUACCGAAAAUAUUCGAAUCGUGUUUGCAGCUGUUAAGGACACCAUUUUCCAAUUCCAGCUGAAGAAAUAUAAUCUAGUCUAAAGUGCAAUCAGAUGAACAGGCAAAUUUUGUGAUUUUAUUAUAUUCAUGAUUCCUUUUUCGCUUUAAAAUAUGUAAAUUAAAAUAACAAAAAAUUAUAAUAAAUAAAACAAGUAAGGAAGGGCUAAGUUCGGGCGUAACCGAAUACUCUUGCAAGUUUCAAGGAUUAAA